rnacentral:lncRNA from 1 species
UUAGGACUAUUUAUUAGAGUUUGUAAUGGCUAAAAAAUGGAGUUGGACUCGUUGGAUUUACUUUUGUGUGUCUCUUUCUAUCAAUUGCCCUACGUGUGUGUGUGUGACUCUGGAAUGUCAUUGUAAGUCACUAUUAAGCGUCACCGAUUCAUUUAUUUUUAUGAAGUUUAAUUUGAUAAGUCACAGAUUCGGAAGCAUCAUCGGGACAAUGGCUUGACCUCAUUGAUAAUUUUGGUUAGCAAGUCGGUGAGACAAAAGACGGAACUUGAUAACAAGUGAAUUAGUUUUAAGGUAAAACCGAUAUUCAUUUUAUUGUUGGUAAAACCGAUAUUCAUUUUGUUGUUGGUAACUUUUAAUCACUAGAACAACCAAAUUGAAUUCGAUGAUGAGUACGUUAGUUGUUUGCUUACUUUGGCUUUUACAUGUUAUGUAUAUUUUCAUUUAAAAAGUCGCUCAUACAUCAACUUUUUCCUAAUCAUUAUGGUUUUUAAAGAAUUAAUUACUUGAUCAGGGAAAUGAAACUUAAAAUUUCUAGUGUGCCAAUUUCUUCAGAUUCUGAAACAUGCCCUCUAUCGUCCAUCCACAUCAUUCAUGCAACUAAUAAAAUCCGGAACCAUCGCCGACACGACUGUUCCUCGAAUGUCAAGGUAGAAAUUAGUAAAUUACAAAUGAGUUGAGUUCAACUAAGGACAGGUUAAAGACAACUUUUGAUCCUAUGUUAGAGCUUAAUUAGAUUCAUUGUCCCUCUAUAUGUGACGUCAUAAGUUACCAAAUUUGGUGGGUUUGAUGUGAAAAACAAUUAAGAAGAGAUUUGAUAGUAGCAAAGAGAAGUUGUCGGCUGCUUUCUCCCCUGACGAAAUCAUAUUUGUGAAUUUGUUAGUAAUAAUCACAAUCCGACAUUCUUUGUUUACGUAUUUGUACUUUCUCUCACAGCUGUACCCAUUUUCACCAACCAACUCAAUCUUUUAUUUUCUUCCUUUUUAAAAGAAAUUAUUUCUACUUACUUUCAAUAUCCAAGAAACAAAAUUUUUUUCACCAACUCCAUUAAACCUUUAUAUAAUAAGCUCGGCCAAAUAUCAAUGCACCAAGAAUUUGCAUUGAAAGAAGUCAAUGUAAUCUUAUGAUUGAGCAUUUUAGCGGGUAGGGUUAAACCGCUAGAAUUCAAGCUUAUUAAGAGAUAAUAGGGAGUUAAAAAAAAAAAAAAAAACUAUCUAAAGGCAGUGUCUUACCAGAUUAGGCAGGCACUCAAGCUUAUUGCUUUCGAAACCGGCACUAUCCAUAUGUUAAAAGACUUUGCUACCUUUGUGCUAUCGAUUUAGAGCAUCUCCAAAAGCAACCUUAAAUCCUCAAAUAUGAGGUUUUUUGUUUUCCAAAGGUAACCUCAAUACCUCAAAUUUUGAGAUUUCAUCUUUUUAUUUGUAUUUUGGUCCUUACAUUUAUUUAUAUCUUAUAAAUAAUUUUACUAAUUUAUUAUUUUAUCAUUUUAGUCCUUAACUUUUAUGUCUUAUAAAUAUAGAUUUUAAGUUCUGAUAUAACUCUUCGAAACGCAUUGAUUAAUCAUAAAUGAGACCAUUACGGAAAUAUUUAGGACAUCUCCAACCAUAACACCAUUUUGGUAUUGAAAUAACACUAUAUUUAGUGUAGUUUUCACAUGAACACAUAAAUAUUACACAAAUUAAAUUACUACAACAAUACUAAUACUCAUAUAUCCUUCAUCAAAUUCCAAACGUGGUCAAAUUUAAAACCAUUCUUUUGUUUUGGAUCUUGUAUGUAGAGUUUUUCGGUUUUUUCCAUCUACAGAGUAUUGAAAAAUAGAAUUUGUUAAUUAAAAAAUUAUUUAUAAAUCAAGUAGAAAACAAAUGUACUUACGAUAUCAAAUUUGGACGCACCAUUUGGAUGCAUAUUCUCCACUUGGGUGAUGCAGUUCUUCAGAUUCCUAAUAGCAUAUGUAAUGUUAUUCAUCCUAUUCUGUAAAGAUCUUAUGUUUCUAAUUUCCCAGUCCUCCGGUUUCUUUUCGUGGUAGCUUUUACUUAUUUUUUCCCAAAAUUUUCCCACAGAUUGGUUAUUAUUACCAAUUAGAUCUUGUGAUAUUUCUAGAUACACACAACAUAACAACUCAUCUUCAUUUUGAUUGAAUGAUGAGCCUCUAUUUUUUUCCAUAUUUUUUAGUCACAAGAAGAGUUAGUCGAAUUGUGAUAUUAUCAUUCCAUAGAAGUCUAUUAUUUAUGCACAAUGAAUGGAAAACCCUAGUUCAAAGGAAUGGCCACAAACCAAUUUCUAGAUUUUCUUAUCUAAAAUUUUGGAUAGGAUUUCAAUCCAAUGGUUGGUGAUGAGUGAGAUAUAAUGAAUGACGUUGAUGAAAUUCACAUUUUUUUUUAUCUAUAUCUAGGAUAAGUUAUAGUUUAGAUAGAAUUUGAAUCCAACGGUUGAUGAGGAGUGCGAUCUAAUAAAUGGCAUAGAAUUUAAAUUUAGUUUUAAUUUAUGAUUUCGUUUGUGUGUUUUUAUUAUUACUUUCUAUAAUUUUAUAAUAUAAUAUAACAUCUUAUUAAUUAAUACUGCUUGUAAAUUUCUAAUGUAUGUUUUAUUGUUAUUUAUAAAAGUUUUAUGAUUUUUUUUAAUUAUAAUCAAUAAUAAGGACUAUUAUGCAAAAUAUAAAUUCUUUUGAAGUUAAAUUUGAGGUUUUCUUUUGGAUAGACACAACCCUAAACCUCAAAUUUGAGGUUUGGCAAACCUCAAAUAUAAGGUCCCCUUUGGAGAUGCUCUUAGUUAUUUUUCUAUUAAGCGUUGUGACAUUUAACAAAACUUCAAAUAUUUUUUAUGAAUAUUUUUUUGUAUAUUAAUCGAUUUGGAUUCACCACUGACUGUGAUUUAUUUGUUUUGUUUAUAUUUUUCUCAUCUACUAAGAUAAUUGUGUAUUGAUUAUCAAUAUAAUAAAUUAACAAUUAUAUCAACUAUAAAAGUAUAUAUAUAUAUAUAUAAAUAUCUAAAAAAAUAGUAAAAUAUAAAUAUAAUGUUGGUUGCUUAUAUUUCAAUUUGCCUUAAUUAUUUGUUUCUAAUAUUUGUAUUGUAUCAAACAAAAUUUGUCUUGUCUUCUACACAUGAGAAUUAAUUUCUUAUUUGUUAUUUAUACUUUUAAAAAUAUUAAUUAUGACCAAAAAUCUUACUUUUCAUCAAAAAUAUCUCACUUUUAAUCAGAAAUCUAUAAAAAUUUAAGAAUUAGGCAAAUUAAUCUAAAAGUUAAUAAUUAUUAAUUUAAAAUCGAUAAAUUAAUAUUUUAGUCUCAACAUUAUUAAUUUAUAAUAGCAUUCUUUAUUUGCUCUUACAAAUUAAAGUAAAGUCAAGUGGAUACUCUUUUUAACUUUCUUCCCAUUUUUAAGGGUUGACUUUGAGGAAGACGAAGAACAAGAAGUGAUAAACAGAAAUAAUGUUACGCCAAUUUUUGCAGGAUCUUGACUAGAUGGAUCUGAAGCUCUUGAGUCGGGAUUGGGAUCAUGAGUCUUACCCUGCUUUUUCUGAUUUAUGGGUCCUCAUCUUCUUUGCUCCCUUCUUCCUUUUUCUUCGCUUAAUCCUCGACAGAUUCAUAUUCGAGGUAAUCGACUAGGUUCUGUUUGUUUUCUAUCUCUUCGUAUUCAUUAUGACUUGGGAAGCAAGUAAUCUCUCAUGAGAAACCUAUCUGAGAGGUUCAUAAUUAAACUAUAGAGGGUCGCUAGAAGACUGGUAGUUCCUAGAGGACACUAUGGUGAUUCAAACGAGAGAAGAAAGAAGAUAGUGAAAUUCAAAGAAUCGGCUUGGAAAUGUUUGUGCUCUUUCUCUGUUGAAGCUCUUGCUCUCUACGUCACCUAUAAGGAGCCAUGGUUUAAAGACACAAGAUGCUUCUGGUUAGGACCAGGGGACCAGAUAUGGCCUGACCAAAAGAUAAAGUAGAAUAUAUAAACUUAAUUUAAUGUGUUACGUGAGACGCAAGACACUUUCAACUAUGCCGCAACCCUAAUAAUACGGACUUUUUCGCAGGUUGAAAAUGAAGGGAAUGUAUAUGUUUGUAGGAGGGUUGAAUGUAUAUGCCUUUUUUGCUUUGUUUUUUUGGGAAACAAGACGAUCUGAUUUCAAAGUCAUGUUAGUUCAUCACAUUGUAACUUCAUUCCUCAUCAUCUUGUCUUACGUUUUCAGGUACUCGUAUACUAAUAUUAUAAGAUAGUAAAAAAUUUCUUAAGUCCACCAGACUCUUAACUUUAACUUCCUCUUUUUAUCCUUUUCUUUACUAGAUUUGCUCGUAUUGGUUCUGUAAUAUUGGCUCUUCACGAAAUCAGCGACGUGUUUCUAGAGAUAGGCAAGAUGUGCAAAUACAGCGGCGCAGAAGCCAUGACUAGUGUCUCGUUUGUCCUAUUCUUCUUGUCGUGGACCGCUUUGCGACUCAUCUAUUACCCUUUCUGGAUAUUAUGGAGCACCAGGUUCAUACUCUAAACCCUGACCCCUCAACUCUAUACAUAAAUAAUGCAAUGUUAUUGGAUCCAUAUGAUCUUUUUUGGUUGAUCUCUACGUAUAUAUAUAUGGACCUAUAUGCAGCUACGAAUCAAUAAAAGUGAAAAUGGAGUACUGGGACAAGAAGAAUUUGAUGGAAACUGGACCAAACCUUAUGGUCUUCUACUAUGUCUUCAACACACUUCUUUAUUGCUUACAGAUUCUUCACAUCUACUGGUGGAUCUUGAUAUAUCGUGUGCUCAUAAGCCAAAUUCGUGCCAAAGGCAAAGUCGCUAAAGACAUUCGUUCUGGUUAGAUUUAUAUAUGCAUACAUAUCUAACCCAACAACUUAGGAUUACAUUUUUUGUGAAAUUCUACAUUUCACGGAAUUUUUUAUUUUAACCAAUUUGUCUUCAAUUAUUCUUUUUGCAGAUUCUGAAGGUGAAGAUGAUGAACACCACGAUUGAUUUAAGCAGCAGUGAUGUCAACCUAAUAAAAAGCAUCGUUAUUUUCCAAUUGAUUAGCGAAGUGUAACAUUUGAUAAUCAAUAUUAUCUACUUCAUUACGAUUUUAUAAAUGCAGAGAGGACAUAAGUAAUUCAUGAUCAAAUAAAAUAAAUUAACUGUUGCCAAUUCUGAAGAUCUCUUCUUUCUCUUUGGAAAUUAAACACCAAUUACAAGAUUCGAUAAAUAAUCUCAUUAGAUUGCUUAUCCUUUUCCUAAACCAAAUCUAUUGGGCUCACAAUGUUGUUGAAGCCCUAUUUUAAGUCUUUUAAUUGGAAAUGAGUUGUUUAAGAAAAGUAUAGAUAAGUUUAUGAAUAUACUUUUAUAAAGAAACUUAUCUUUACAAGAGCUAUACUAACUAAUGAAGUGAGAUAGACGAACAAAAACGAUCAAAAACACUAAGAUAAAACAGUAAUUACCCAGAAAAGAUCUCAAUAAACCCAGAAUAAAAAUGCAUAAGAUCAAUCUAAAGUCAGAUUCCUAAAGAAAGAUAAGAUAAUUAAUGAGUCCAAGCUCUAGGCCUGGGAUUUCGGUUAACCGUUCGGUUAUCGGUUGGAUCCAUUCGGUUUCGAUUCUUUCGGUUUCAAAAUUUAGUAUCCAUUCGGAUAUUUUGAAAUUUCGGUUCGGUUUCGGUUCUUUCGAUUUUAAAAUUUAGUAUCUAUUCGGUUAUUUUGCUUAAGAUAUUUUCGGAUAUUUUAGUUAUUUUUGAGUAUUUUCGGAUAUUUUUGGAUAUAUUUCGGUUAUUUUCGAGUAUUUUUACUAUUUUUAUAUAUUUUUCAAGUAUUUUUGAUUAUUUGGUCUAUAAAUAACUAUUUAUUUUGAAAAUAUAAUUGUAUUUCGGGUAUUUCGGUUACCCAAAAUAUUUCGGUUACCCAAAAUAUUUCGGUUCGGUACCGAUUCGGUUAUGGUUAUUUCGGUUAUAUAAUUUAGUAUCCAUCCGGUUAUUUUCAAAUUUUCGAUUUGAUUUGGUUCGGGUUUUUUUUUUAUUCGGUUCGGUACAUUCGGUUCGAUUUAUUUGUCUAGGCCUACCAAGCUCUAUACUUGUGGGCUGUGGCGUCAUAGUGGAGUUGAAAUCGAACUCUAUCGACGUAACAAAAGUUGGAAAAUCCAUAAUAUAUUCAGAACAUAUUUGUAAACAACGUCACGGUGUUACAUAACCAGAACUUUUUUCUACACAACCAAAAAAAAAAAAACUCUAGAUCUGAUACACAAUCAGACUCUAUGCUUGUUUUAGAUCAACUGUGCUUUUUUUUUUUAAUGAUUCUUUUUUACGUAGUAAAUUUUUUUAUAUGAAUUGACACCAAUAAAAUUUUGAAAAUGUUCCAAUUUACAUUAAGUUUUAAAUAUAUUUCAGUCCAACUGUAACUAUGAACCCGACUCAAUUAUAAGUUUGAAUCCAACCCAAUUGUAAUAUUGAACCCAUUAUAUGAAACAAUAAAAAAAUGAGAUAAAUAUUCAAAUUAUUGGAACCCAAUUCAAGUUAUAAAAGCAAACGUGAAGCCCAAUUAUUCAAAUUAUAAAAAGCAAAUAAUUUUAAUCCAACCCAAUUGUAAUCUGUAGUAAUAAAAUAACCUAAUAAUACAUGUUUUGUUUGAUUGACGAUUCAUUUUCUUAAGAAAAUCACUUCACCCUUCAUUCUUCUCUCUCGAAGAAACUAUCGUCGUUGUCAAAGUUCAAUUUUAGGUAACAAACUUUCAAUCUUUCAUACAUUAUAUUGUUUGAUUUUUGCUUUUUGACAAUCGCUUAUAAUAUGUUAUGUUGCCAAUUGCCAUCGAUGAAACAUUUCAUAAUGAAACUAAGAAGAUAUUUUAGAAAUUCAGGAUAAUCUUGAGAUUAAAUCCUUUAACAAAAAGAAAAGAAAAAGAGAAGGAUAACUUCAGAUUACAGUAUGAAGCAAUGUUUUUAGUCUACGAGAUAAUUCUUAACAAAUAUUGCAUAAAUCUUAUAAGGAUCUUAAAAUUAGAGAUAAGUAUAAAAUUUUGAGAAAAUAAAAUAUUGACAUUAAAGAAUUAUACGGUAUUCAACCUUUUUAGAUGACCCAACAAAAAUAUUCAAAUUGAACGUAAUUAUAUAGGUAAUUAAAUAAAUAUUAAAAAUGUAGACGAACGGCCCCAUGAACGGCUCACUUUUUUUUCUUCUUUUCAUACUCAAUCAUUAAGCUUUCUUAAAUUAGGGAAAUGCCGAAAGGGAGAAAGGUAGUCAUAUUUUGUAUUUAUGUCUGUCCUUUUUAAUCAUAUGAUUCACUUUAUUUUUAAGUUUUGUUUUAUUAUUACCUAUGUUUCACUUUAUUAUUUUUAAAAGUCCACAAGAAACAAAUUACACAUUUAUGAGGAUUAAAUAAACAAAACUGUGUUUUCUACUCAUUAAUAAAUUAGAAGAGUGUGGAGCCACAUGAAAAAGAAGUGAACCUAUUCAUGAAAGAAAGAUAAAAAAAAAACACUUGGGUCGUGAAGAGAGCAUGUGAGUGUUGUUAGUGUACGAACUACGAAGUCAGAGAGAACCAAAUUGCACUCAACAACAUGUGGAUCCUCGUCACAUUCACUCAUAAGUCAUAAGCCUAUGAACUACCCUCUACGGCUCUACAGCAGUACAGCUUCUUGCCUUUUUUUUAUUUCCCAUUUUCUUCAAGUUGUAUUGAGUUCACUGCUUUAGUUACACUUACAUAUGGAUACAUAAAAAAAAAUGAUACCAAAUUAGAUUUGAUUAGUAUCAUAUGGUUUCUCCAAUUUUAUAGAUCACACAACAUUAUAUAAAUAAUUAAAACAUUAACAAAACAUAUGGUCAUGAAGAGUAAACGAAAAUUUGACAUAUGUUUUUAGAAAUGUAAAUCGUUUACUUUUUUUUUCACAUGCCUUAAUUUCAUAAGUAAUAAAUUACCAUUUGUCAAACGAAUUUUUCAACAUAUUCAUCUCUUUACAAAGUGAAUAAAAAUAAAUAUAAUAUUCUAACAUUCUAAUUAGGUAAUUGAAAAUUUAUCUAUAUAGACUCUUUAUUUAUUUAUUAAUUUUUUUUGGAUUAUCACUUAUGAAUAAAAAAACAUAAUACAAUGCGACGAUAAACACAAUAUCUAAUUUAUUACUUUUAAUAAUAUCAAUGUUAUUAAAAAUUUAUUUAGAUAAAAACAGAAAAGAUCGAACGGAAAAAAGGAAGAGGCAAUGAAAAGUAUUAAAUUGGUUCUCAUUCAUUCUACUCUCAAAGUUACCUCGGGGGUCUUCUGAGAUCUUUUCCCCAGAUUCUCUAGAAAUCGCUCUCCCCGAUAAAGAAGAAGCUCUCAGAAAAUUCCUCUCUCUCUCUCUCUCUCUAAUUCCCCAUUAUUUGUUUCUGUGUUAAAUUGAAUUGCGACUUAACUCUGCCAAAGUGACAAGUCCCGAUUCGCAGUAAUACCGAUAGAUUUUUCUGUGUGAGUGCCAUACAAACUCCGAGAAAUCGGCUCAAGUUUCGAUUUUUGUUUCUGGGUUUUACCUUUUUCACCAACCUGUUUGUGAUUUUUUGUUCUGGGUGUUGUUGUUAUAUAACAGUUUGAUCGUUUCUUCUUGAUGGUUUUUUUUUGGAUUCGUUUCUAGCUUUCGCUUGUAUGACUGCAUUUUGAUGAUAAUUUCAUAUCCGCUACUUUCGUUAACGUUCUAUUGCGAUUAGAGUGUUGCGUUUAUCUUAAGUCUGCUUCACUCAUUCGUCCAUGGGUUUAAGAGUAAAUAUCACUGUUCCUUUAAAAUGUUCCGUACAAUUCAGUCUUGCUAUUUGUGUUUUGGCUCUCUUUGCUUUGGUCUCUCCAUGUUCCCAGCUUAAAAUUCUGUCUUCUUAAUGAAAAUGUACCUUUUUUUUUGCAGAUUAUUGUUCAUAAUGGGUCAAGACAGCAAUGGGAUCGAGUUUCAUCAGAAGAGACAUGGUCUCUUGAAGGAUCAAGUCCAACUGGUUAAGAGAAGAGACUCUGUUCGGUAUGAAAUAGUUCCUAUUCAAGAUCGGUUGUCAUUUGAGAAGGGCUUCUUUGCGGUUAUCCGUGCGUGCCAAUUGCUUUCUCAGAAGAAUGAUGGGAUCAUAUUGGUUGGGGUUGCUGGACCUUCUGGUGCUGGAAAGACUGUAUUCACCGAGAAGAUACUCAAUUUUCUGCCAAGUGUUGCUGUCAUAUCAAUGGACAACUAUAAUGAUGCUAGUCGAAUCGUUGAUGGAAACUUUGAUGGUAAGACUUUUUUCAUGCAUGUUUCAGGAGUAAUGAACUCUUAUGACACAUUGUUUUGAAACUUGAAGAAUCUUGCUGCUGACAAACCUUAUGUUUCGAAACUUAGAUCCACGGUUAACGGACUAUGACACAUUGCUCAAGAAUCUUGAAGAUUUAAAGGAAGGAAAGCAGGUUGAGGUUCCCAUUUAUGAUUUUAAGUCCAGCUCUCGUAUUGGAUACAGGUAAUGGAUGACGUGAUUGUACAGUUUCCAUUUGCUGAUUCAGUCAUCAUUUUGUACUUUAUCUACACAAAUAAACCACUUGGUGCCCAUUGUCACAAAAGUUUGAUAUAACAUUCACAUCAGCAUGGUUUUUGGUUAUUCCACUGAAGACAUUGUGUUUAAUGCCAUGCUUUAAUUUUGCUAGGACCCUUGAUGUCCCAGCUUCUCGGAUUGUGAUUAUUGAAGGAAUCUAUGCUUUGAGUGAAAAACUGCGUCCUUUAUUGGAUCUCCGUGUGUCUGUUACUGGUGGAGUUCAUUUUGACCUUGUUAAACGGGUUCUCCGUGAUAUACAACGUGCAGGUCAACAGCCAGAGGAGAUUAUCCAUCAGAUAUCGGAAACGGUUUGUCUUCAUUUCUUUUAUCUCCUGUGGCUGUUAUUGGUUUAGUCUAUGACCUGCGGAUUGGUCAUAGUAUCAACUUCACUGUUUAUGCAGGUAUACCCGAUGUACAAAGCUUUCAUUGAGCCAGAUCUUCAGACUGCUCAAAUCAAAAUCAUUAACAAAUUCAACCCCUUCACUGGUUUUCAGAGCCCGACUUACAUCUUGAAGGUUUGAAAAAUGACUGGAUUUUUCUAUCCAUCUUAUAUUACUAAUCACUGCUCUGCAAUCUCAGUAUUCAACUAUUGACUGCGAUUGGUAAACUGAAGUUCUUUUACUGUUACUUUGUUGUAGUCAAGAAAGGAUGUAUCUGUUGAUCAGAUCAAGGCGGUCCUUUCUGAAGGACAUACAGAGACCAAGGAAGAGACUUAUGAUAUAUAUCUUCUUCCUCCAGGUGAAGAUCCAGAGUCGUGCCAAUCAUAUUUGAGGAUGCGGAACAAAGAUGGAAAGUACAGCCUUAUGUUUGAGGUUUGUUGAGAGUUUUCUUUCCAUGUUCUCUUGAAUAUGACUUUUCAAUUUCUGGAAAAGCUGACAAUCCUCUGAUUCUGGAAAUGGUAAGAUGCUUAAUAUCUGGUGAAUAACUGUGGUUCUGGUUUUGACGACCAGGAAUGGGUUACGGAUACUCCUUUUGUCAUAUCCCCAAGGAUUACAUUUGAAGUCAGUGUUCGCCUACUUGGUGGGCUCAUGGCAUUGGGAUACACAAUAGCAACUAUACUUAAAAGGAACAGCCAUGUAUUUGCUACUGAUAAGGUGUUUGUGAAAAUCGAUUGGCUUGAGCAACUGAAUCGUCACUACAUGCAGGUCUAUCAAUCUAUACUCACUCACCACCAUUUGCUAGAAAAUUGAUCGUUCAUAUGGCUUUAUGAUGACACUCUUGUUCCCAAUUACUAUGAAAUUACUUUAUUCCCCUAAAAGAAUAUGACUACAAUAUUCAAAUUUUGUUAUAAACAGGUGCAAGGUAAAGAUCGGCAACUUGUACAGAGUACUGCAGAGCAGCUAGGAUUGGAAGGAUCAUUCAUUCCACGCACCUAUAUUGAACAGAUCCAAUUGGAAAAACUAAUAAAUGAAGUAAUGGUAUGUUUAGCUGUUCGGGUCUACGAAUUUUGUUUUGAUUACAUUUUAUAUUGGGUCCUGAUUAAAAGUCCCAUCGCAGGCCCUACCAGAUGAUCUAAAGAACAAGCUUAGCUUAGAUGAGGAUUUUGUGUCUAGUUCAAGCCCUAAGGAAGCACUCUUACGAGCUUCUGCAGAUAGAGUAGCCAUGAGAAAUAAGAACCUCAAAAGGUACACUUCUUUUGAGGAGUGUAUGAGAAAGCUUUGUUACUUCCAACCCAUGUGUCCUUAGUUAUGCCAUUUAUUAUACACAGAGGCAUGUCACACUCAUAUUCAACCCAAAGAGAUAAGAAUCUGUCGAAGCUUGCUGGUUAUUCUUCAAGCGAUAGGAGGUACGAAGAAAGAAAUCACGACUCGCCAGCGAACGAGGUUCAAAUUUGUUCUCUUUCAUUCCCUAUUGGCAACUUUGAAGUCUUCCUUUUAACUUAAGGGUGCACUUCUUCUAUUUUUCAACUAUUUUUAGGGGUUUAUGACUCAGCUUUCAGAACAAAUAUCAUCUCUCAACGAGAGAAUGGAUGAGUUCACAAGUCGGAUCGAAGAGCUAAAUUCAAAGUUGAGCUGCAACAAAAACUCUCCAACACAGCAGAGCUUGUCAAUCCAAACUGAAGUCUGCAAUGGGUCAGCUCCUACUUCGUAUUUCAUUUCUGGUCUGGACAAUGGCUGCCUGACAAAUUCCAUAAUGCCCCAUUCAUCAUCAUCCUCCCAAUUAGCCAAGGAUUCACCAUUAAUGGAAGAGGUAAGUAACCUCACACAUCCCUCGUUUAUGAAUUUGGAUUUUAUUGCAUUGCUUUGUAUCGACGAGCUGCUCUGUUUCUGGUGCAACCAGAUAUCAACCAUUUCACGUGGACAACGUCAAGUCAUGCAUCAGUUGGAUAAUUUGUGCAAUCUGAUGAGGGAAAGCUCAGCGGAAAGGUCACGCCUAGCAAGAACAGGGAGCAGCAAUAGCAGUAACAGAGGCAGAUCAAGCAAAAGCUCCUUCUUGUCCAAUGUGGAAUCUAAGAAGCUCCCUCUCAUGUUAACCGUGGCUUUUUGCAGCAUAGGCAUCGUACUGAUCAAGAGCUACAUUAACAAGCGGCAAUAACAUCUAUUAACCACUAUGGAUCUUCUCUUCUUUUUUGUUCUUUUCUUUUGGUAUUUUUCUCACUGGAGGCGUUUUGUGAGCUUCCCUGGUUUCUCUACGUAGACAAUGACGCCAGUUCUCUUCCCCUAAAUUAGUCGUUUGGAAGACAUUCUCGAUUAAUUUAUUCAAUAAAGUUUAGUUUUUAGUUUAGCAGUCACUUCUUUGGGACAAGGAUCAACACAAGACCUGUAUGCAGUGUCAUACUCAUUCAGAGGAAAAAUCAAGAGUUGUCCGACACUGGUUUAGAUAUAUCCCAACUUCAUUACACCAAAAUUCAAAUAAAGCACCAAUGAAGCGAGUCUUCAAAGUGGAAAUUGCAAUGUACAAUCCAUGAAAAUUGAUCAACGAUCUAGACCAAGAGAACAAUAUGAUGCAACCACUUGAUUUUACAUUGGGUUGAAUGUUGUUUGUUUCAUCAUAGGUGAUGAUGACCGAUGAUCUGAGUUCAUAAAUUCUUUUUAUCCAUUAUAUAUGCAUAUAGACAUCACCACCUACUUUAUAAGUACUACAUAUAUGUUCCACCAGAAUUGCUCAAACCAUGUUUGGAGUCUCCAAUGGAGCUGCAAAAAAUAGGAGCUGAACAGAGAUCCUGAUUCCCAUCAUAUAGCCUUGUCCAACCAAGCUGGUAAUCUCAACGAAGAUUUCAUUCCGAGUCUUGUGAGGAAGAUUGAGUAUAGCAGAUGCAGCAACAGCACAAAGAAUCCACUGUUUAGCAACAGCUGUUGAUAAUCAAAGCAAAAGGUUCUCAGCUUCUUUAAUUAAUUUCCAGAGAUAAACAGAGAGCAGCGGGAUAAAGAGAUUGCAUACCACUGUCCCAAAUAUCAUAUAGAUGAGGCUCAUUGAAGGCAUUAUGUUCAGGCCCAUGGCCGUGAAAACAUAAGAGAGAGAGGCGUGGAUGUUAAUUGUGAUCUGGAAUAACACAAUGCCGUGGUGGUUUUAUUUGUACAAGAGUUUCUUUGUGUGAAAAAGAGUGAUAGUUUUUUUAGGGAUAGAUGCAGCUUACCACAGCGAGAAUGUUUUCUCUUAUUAAGAAGGAUGAUGUCAGAACAUAGCCUAUGAGACCCAAUGCUCGAACCUGCGUGGGAGGAAACAUGAUAAUACAAGUAAACAAGGAGAGGUAAGGAAAUGUCAAUCAUAGGAAGCAGACAAUUCACCAUUGUGCACACGAAAAUCGAGAGACGCCAGCUUGCCCCCAUCCUGAGAACAGGAGAAUAUUUCAAAAAAUAAACAACUGAAAUAGAGUUAAGCUGAAGUAAUCUACUUCCAGAACGUCAGUCAUAAAGACAGGAAAUAGUAAGAUGUAUGUUUUAGUUGCGAUGGAGAACUAGAAACUGUGCAAGAUAGAGAGGAGUGUAUGUAUUCACAUACCUCCACAAUGAUCCCAGUGCAAGCCCCACAAGACCAUGAGUAAGCUACAAAAAUAAAUCUCCACAAGUUAAACAAUGGUCAAGUAUCAGGAGAUAAAACUCUGCUUGAGCAAACUAGCAAAGCGGAGGCUUACAAAGUAAGUUAAUGCUUUGACCGGACCUGAUAAUAUGAACAAGAGCAUGACAGUAGCAACCUGAGAAACAAACAAACACCACAAAGACUUGAAGCACAUAUCCACAAAAAGACUUGAAACUCAUACUACUAAGGUGAGAAAGAAGAAUGUUGUUCACAAACCAUUGUCUUCCUGCCACCAGCAAUAUUCCAUCUUAUCGAAGAAAUCACGAUUGGUAGUGAGAAGAAACACCCAAAGUAGUUCUGCGUUCAAAAUGUAAAACUCAUACUCAUUAUAAAAGGAACAAGUAAAUAUGAAAUGUUUAUCACACUAACGAUACAAAAAAAGAACGAUGAUCUUCCCUCAACACAUAUCAGUUCUAAUGGAAAUUAUAGAGGCUAGAGAAAAAUAUGAACUAAGAACCUCAAUGGCGAGAGAAUUGCUGAGAAAGUAAACAAGGCCAGUGACAGCAGCGAACAUGGCACACUCCACUAAUCUCAGCGUUUUCUGGUAAACCACUUCAUCUCCUUCCUCCGCCGAAGCGUAAUUUCUCUCGGAUUCUUCUUUCUUCCCAUCCUCUUGAUUACCAUAAAUCGAAGCACCAGAGACACUCGAGAAUGCGGAGCACCUUCGAUGAUUAGAGAUAGAAACGAGGGAGAUUAUGGGUCUUUGUGGAGAGAGUGAAACAGAUGAAUAAGAAGAAGAAGGAAAGGAGCGUGUAGGGGCAAAACGGUAAAAUUGAGUAAUGGUGGACUGGUGAUGAAUCGUUUUGAGGAGAUUCAUGGAGGCGAAGACGAAGAACGACGACGACGAAGCUCUCUUCUCUUCUCCUCCGUCUAUCUUAAAAUCUCGAGAUGACACAAAACCGGAUUUAUACCCAAUUAAACCGACUGGAUUAAUCCGGUUUGGUAAUUGUUUCCUCUGGUUGCUUCCUUCUUCUGCAACCUCUCUGACUCUCUCUAUAAAGGGUUUCGACGACAAAGGUGAACUACUUAACUCCAUUUCUACUGUUUCUCCGACAUCCUCCUAUAGGAAGCAAAGGGACAAGCGGGAAUUUGAAAAUUGAGGAAGCAAAAACAAUUUUUCAACACUCAAUUUCUUGAUCCCAUCUGGAAUUUGAAUUUCACUACGAUUCCGUCGAUUAUUCUCUCAAUGGUGGUGGACCAAGAUCAGCAAUGGCUGCUGGGUUGCUUAUCAGCAAGUCUUGACCCUAACCAGAACGUUCGUUCUUUCGCUGAGACUUCUCUCAAUCAGGCUUCUCUUCAACCAGGUUCGUUGCUUUAAAUCGUUUGGGUUUCUUUCGAGCUCGUUGCUUCUCUUCUAUAGAUUCUUUUUUUUUGUAGUUAGAUUUUACCAACUGAACCAUGAAUAGCCUCGGUCUUGUUCUUGAUGUCAUAAGUUCUGAUAGAUGAACAAAAGAAGAAGAUCAUUCAUAAGAUGUUUGCUUCUUGUAGGGUUUGGCAGUGCAUUGUGCAGAGUUGCUGCUAACAAAGACCUCUCAUUGGGAUUGCGUCAAAUAUCCUUUUCAUAGAGCUUGUUGAUUGAUAUAGUGAAGUCUAACCCUUUUUUUUUCGCUUGUGAAGUUCUUAACCUACUGUUACUUAGCUGCUGUACUGUUAAAGCAGUUCAUUAAAAAACAUUGGCGAGAGAAUGAGGAGGCUUUUGAAUAUCCACUUGUCUCAAAUGAGGAAAAGGUACUCUCCCUGUCUUCUUUUAUUGUUUGUUUGGAUUUCCUGCUGCGAUAGAUUUGCAAAUGUUUAGGAAAUUCUUUUGGUUAUGUUAUUAGGCUCUUAUUCGAGGACAGUUAUUGGGCUCACUUGAUGACUCUCAUAGAAAAAUCUGUACGGCUAUUAGUAUGGAUAUAUCGUCAAUUGCCACAUAUGAUUGGCCAGAAGAGUGGCCUGAACUAGUCCCCUUUCUUCUCAAGUUAAUUAGCGAUCCAAGUAACACUAAUGGAGGUAUAUUUUCGAUCAAUUUUGUUAGCUCUAGAGGCAUAUUCUUUAUUAUCACCAUUUCUGUACUCUUUCAUGAGAAUAGUUACGAGGUUUCCUGAGGCUGAAUUUAUUUCCAUAUUCAACAGUUCAUGGAGCUUUGAGGUGUUUGGCUCUUCUCUCUGGUGAAUUGGAUGACAAAGAGGUUCCUACGCUGGUACCUGUGUUGUUUCCUUGCUUGCAUGCAGUCGUAUCUUCUCCUCAGGUUUGUAUCUUUAUGUUGAUACGAUCAGACUCAUGUUGAAUCACGUUUUUGGCAUGUCAAGGUCUCUUAAGUGAAAAUUUUAGUAACAGAGGCCCUCAUGGAGCUCACUUCUUUGUAUAUGUAGAGCUAUGACAAGUAUAUUCGAGGAAAAGCCCUUUCAAUUGUUUAUUCAUGUAUAUAUGUUCUUGGAGCAAUGAGCGGUGUGUACAAGGUACUUUUUCUUUAAUAAUUAUUAUUGUACAUACAUCUUGAAUGUGAUUUGCUUCAGCUACUUCUGUUAUCACUUGACAUAUAUAAUGUGUUUAUAUUCAGAUGGAAACUACUACUUUGGUGACACCUGUGCUUAAAGUUUGGAUGAAUCAGUUUUCACUUAUAUUGGAACAUCCUGUGCAACGCGAGGAUCCUGAUGAUUGGAGCUUAAGAAUGGAGGUUCGUCUCAUCUUGUAAUUGUCUUACUUUUGUUCCCAUUAAACUCCCGGAAUUGUAUAUCGGGCCCCUGUCCCCUGUCUUUGCGUUGAUUUUACCUCCUCUCAUUAGGUCUUGAAGUGCUUAAAUCAGUUUGUACAGAAUUUCCCAUCUCUCAUUGAAAGUGAAUUGAUGGGUAUGUUCUCGAGUGUGACCCAUGUACCUUUUUUUAUUCAUACAUAUGCAUCUGAAGCAUCAUUAUUGAAACAUAAUAUAUGUGCAGCUAUUAUGAGGCCAUUGUGGCACACAUUUGAGUCAUCUCUACAAGUUUAUCUUCGAUCGUCAAUUGAUGGUGCUGAAGAUUCAUAUGAUGGAAGAUAUGAUUCAGAUGGUGAAGAAAAGAGUCUUGACACUUUUGUCAUCCAGGUAACUUAAUAAUUUUAAGUGAUCAAGGUUUGUUUUCCUUCAAGGUCUCAAUUUCGAAGUUAGUCUUUUAGUUAGAACUUAGAACUGGGGCAUUUGGCUCAUAGAUUAUGGUAUUUUGAUGAGUUUGAGGCCAAGUGAGACUUGUUUCUGUGCAGCUAUUUGAGUUUCUGUCAACUAUCGUUAGCAGUAGAAGACUGGCAAAGGUUUGGCUGAAACCCUUUCAGUUUUUUUUUCCCCUUCAUUUUGGUCGUAUGUUGCUUUGGAAUUGGUUUCUUACAGAAAUAUGUUUAUAUCAGACCAUUGCCGGUAAUGUCAGAGAGUUGGUGUAUCAAACCGUCGCUUUCCUGCAGAUUACAGAACAACAGGUAAAGAUGAAUCAUGCAUCUUCUGCUACUCAGACAUAAUAAUAUAUAUUGGUUAUAUUUAAAACUCGGAUGAUAAGAUGAAUCUAUCAAGGGAAGUUUUACAAAGCUAGACAGCCUAUCUAUAUAUGACGAAGUAAUUGUUUUGUUGUGUAAUAGAACUUAUCUCUUGCUAUCUCAAUGAAUAAAAGAUGGCCAGAAGGCUUAACCAUUUUACCAUAGCUCUGGAACUUCUGUUACUCUUUGUAUAUCCCUUAUUUCCGUAGGGGUAAUAUCUGUUUCCAAUGCAUAUGUUUAUUUUAUAGUUUAACGUAUCUCACUGUACCAAGUCACAAACUUUUGGAACCGUUUCAUUCUGUUGUUAGUAUUAGUAUCACAGACUGUUCGGGAAAUACAACUAUUGCUGUGCCUAUAUAUUGUAUGCCAUGUAGUAAUUUCAUGCUGUGGUUUAUGUACGCAAAUUUGCUGCUAAAAUCUUGAAACAACAAGAUUUCUAGAAUCUUGAGCUAGCUGAGAUACAAGAUAUAAUAUACUGUUUUUAGCUAGCUGUCUCACCCCUUUCCAUUAAAUUAGGUCUCACAAAAUUACACUGAAUCUUUUGUUGUUAUUUGCUCUAGCUUCCUAUUUAUUUGCUAGCAUAAGUUUAAUUAUAAAACAUAUAUGUCUAGCAUCUGAGAUAAGACAUGCCUUUAUUCUUUAUCUCAUAUGUUGCUUCUCUCCAGGUUCAUACUUGGUCCAUGGAUGUAAAUCAGUUUGUAGCCGAUGAAGAUGAGGGUAGCUACAGUUGUCGUAUAUCAGGUAAGCUGUCUCUCACUCUUCUUAAGUCAAAAUCAUAUGCUUAUGCAUAGUCUGAGACCAGAUUUGGAGGUCGUAUGCAUAUAUCAAUAUCCAAAAUUUAUAAACGUGUAACUAUAAAACUACCUGCUGCACCACAGGAAUUCUUUUGUUGGAGGAAGUUAUCAAUGCUUUUGGUAGCGAAGGGAUCAAUUCUGUUGUAGAUGCUACCGGAAAACGGUUCCAAGAGUCUCAAGGUGAAAAGGCAGCUGGUUCUCCGUCCUGGUGGAGAGUAAGUGCACUUAAUUCUCUUUGUUAUUGUAUUUCUUGAAAGGUUUGACUAGCCAUUUUUUCUCUGAUAUUUUGACAUUGUCACCAAUUCCGUGAGAUUCUAUCUUUUUUUUCUCCCAUAUUCAGUUUUUAUUUUUAACUUUACGACUUACUUUCAUAUUUUUCCAUUUGUUAGAUAAGAGAAGCUGUGCUCUUUGCUUUGGCUUCUCUUGCUGAUCAACUUGUUGAAGCUGAGGUUUGUGUUUUCCAUGGCAAUUUUAAAAAACGAAAAAAUUACUUAAGGUGGGAAACAUUUUAUCCUUAUAUUAUAAUCUUUUCAGGACUUGAGAACUGACCCUGCCAAUUUAGCUAAAUUUGUUGAGCAAUUGAUAAUGGAAGAUACUGGAAUUGGUAGGUAUUGUAAGAUCUACUGCUCCAACAUUACUUCUCAUUUGGUAUUCAAACUGUUGUACAUAACUGGAGCCUUUAUUUAACAGGGUAUCAUGAAUGUCCUUUCCUUUAUGCCCGCAUAUUUACAGCCGUUGCAAAGUUCUCUUCUGUGGUAAUUUUUUUUUGUUUUGUUUUCUCCCUAAAUAACUCUAAUCUGGAAGACAUGAAUUGAAUCUUUUCCACUUUAAUCAGAUCAACCCUGGAAUCCUUGAGCACUUCCUCAAUGCUGCUGUUAGAGUUAUAACCAUGGACGUGUAUAUUUUCUACCCUUCUGCAAUUCUGCUGUUUAGUAUCUUUAUCGACAGAGAUUAAAGUUAGAUACUAUUAUUAAACAGGCCGCCACCUGUAAAAGUAGGCGCAUGUCGGGCACUUUUGCAGCUCCUACCCGAUAUGAACAGUUCAGUUAUUCUGCCUCAGAUCAUGAAUUUAUUCUCAUCUCUCACUGAUCUUCUCCAUCAGGUAAUUUUUCUACAGACUGCCUUUUUAGCACACCGCGUGUGUCUAUUUUACUUUUGUGUCACUCGAGAUUUUUAUUCUUUUAUUCAGGCUUCAGAUGAAACUUUGGUUUUGGUACUUGAAACUCUUCAACAAGCAAUAAAAGCUGGUAAGUAUUCAUAUUUUUCCUUCUUGCAAAAAAAAUUCAGAAUCUAGCUAUGCAGUAGUUCCCAGCUAUAUCUUAUUUUCUUUAUUAUUUGCUAGGCCAUGAAGCAUCAGCUUCAAUAGAGUCUAUUAUUUCUCCAGUGAUUCUUAAUGUGUGGGUGGCACAUGUUUCAGAUCCCUUUAUGUGUAUCGAUGUAAUUGACGUCCUGGAGGUAAAUAGAGUGAUUGUGGUUAUCAUUUUCUUUGUUGUUAGAAAUGCAAUUUGCCUAGUUUGUUUAUGCUAAUCUCUUACCACUGCUUAUAUAGUCUAAAAUGAACAAAAAAAUACUAUGUUUGUGGCUAAUUUCUUUCCUAUGGCUGUCACACAGGCAAUAAAGAAUUCGCCUGGUUGCCUUCAUCCACUGACAUCAAGGAUUUUACCAUUCAUUGGACCAAUUUUAAAUAAGGUGCUGUGCAGAAUCAUGAUUUCAAGCCUGUUUUUCCUCGCUUUGUUUUACUAUCUUUCUUCCCUGGUUCCCUUUUAAUGACAUCUCUGUGGUGAUAAUCAGCCACAUCAGCAGCCUGCAGGACUAGCGAUUGGAUCCUUGGAUCUUUUAACUAUGCUUCUUAAGGCAAGUUAUACUAGCUGGAUUUUCAUAUUACGUGAAUAAUUUUUUCUACUAAAUGGACAGUAUUUCUCGUUUUUGCUGACUAUUUUUCUAGUCAUAUAUAGGGUGCCCCAAGUGAUAUAGUGAAAAAUGCAUAUGAAUUUUGCUUUGAUGCUGUUAUUCGUAUCAUACUCCACAGUGAGGAUCAUGGUGAACUGCAGGUGAUAAAAUUUUCUGUUUCUAGCUUGCUUCAUCGUUAUCUAUCAACAAAGGGUCACUUAUCGCUAGCCUUUUAAUUGGUCAGAAUGCUACAGAAUGUCUGGCAGCUUUUAUAUCUAGUGGAAGACAAGAGUUGCUCACUUGGAGUGGUGAUCCCAGUUUUACCAUGAGAAGUUUGCUUGAUGCAACUUCUAGGUAUAGUUCUCCACUUACCUUUUUGUUUGGUUUAUUUCACGUCCACCAAAAGCUGAAGGCCUACAGAUUUUUGUUUUCGUUUUGGAUUUGUUAAAAUGUGAAUAUGUUGCCGACACUUGCGCAUGUGAAAAAAAUAUCAGUUGAUUUUUCCUUAUACAUGGGUAACUCUAGUCCGAAUCACCUGCAAUUUUUCUGUUUUUUAGAGUAGCCUUCUGAAUAAUUAUUGUGACAUCUCUACAUUUCUUGGAAUCAUUUGAUAAAGUGUUUUGAGAACCUUGGUUUGUUUGUUCCCCAUGGUUUUCCAAAUGGUAUCUUUUUAAGUCUACAACUUGUAUUUCUUUGCAAUAUUGAUUUCUCAAUGUUGGUGCAGGCUUCUUAACCCUGAUCUGGAAUGUUCUGGAUCUCUGUUUGCUGGGAAGUACAUUCUGCAGCUUAUCUUGCAUCUUCCAUCAGAGAUGGCACCCCAUGUCCAAGAUCUGGUUGCUGCUCUUGUAAGACGGUUGCAGUCUGCUGAUAUUUCGGCUUUAAAAGGCUCAUUGCUGCUGAUUUUUGCCAGACUGGUAUUUUUCACCUUUCAGUUGGAUAGUUUUAAAAGGCUCAUUCUCUCUUCUUUGUAAGAUGCUUUUAAGGCUCCAAAAGUUCAUAACCAUUUUAUCUCUGUCAUGCGCUGUAACUAUUGAUUUUUGCAGGUCCAUAUGAGUUUUCCGAAUGUCGAUCAAUUUAUCAAUCUUCUUGUUAGCAUACCCGCUGAAGGCCAUGAAAAUUCCUUUACCUAUGUUAUGACAGAAUGGACUAAACAACAAGGCAAGCAUCUCUAUCCUUGUUAUCUAGUUGUAUGAUGCUAUUUCUCUACCUUAUGCAUCACGAUAAAGGUUUUUUCUGGCUUUUCAACUUAUGGUUGGUUAAGCAUCUAUUUUCAGGGGAGAUACAAUCCGCAUAUCAAAUCAAAGUCACAACUUCAGCUCUGGCCUUGCUACUGUCCACUAGACAUUCUGAAUUUGCGAAGGUCAAUGUCCCAGGCAGUCCGAUUCAGGUCUUAUGCUGUACCUAACUGUUUUUUCCGUAAAAUUCAAUUUACCCUCAGCCUUACAGAAACUUGAGUCUAUUUCUUAUAUAGUCCAAUGGUGGCAUAACCACUCGCUCAAAAGCUAGAUCUGCUCCUGAACUAUGGACCAUUAUCUCUCUACCCAUGAAGGUAUGUUUCUGUUUGAUUCCUUGGUUUAAAUGUUCUCAAUGUACAAGCUGCAAGUCAGAAUACGUAUUCGUUGUGGAUAUACAUUUCUAUCUUGAUUCAUUUGUGAUACCCUUUAUAGUUCUUAAUCGGUCAUAUCCUCCUCUCAUUUCAUCAUUCUGAUGUAUGUUUUCAGAAACUUUACAUUAUUUGUCUCUGCAGAUACUGGCUUUACUAGCUGAUACAUUGAUUGAAAUGCAAGAGCAAGUUUUGAGUAGUGAAAAUGAGGUGAUUAUGCUUCCUUAAGCUUCUUUAUUUCCUUUCCUUUCUUCGAAUUGAGUGGAACUUGAGAUGUUAAUUCUGUUCUUCGAAUAGCAGGAUAGCGAAUGGGAAGAAGUGCAUGAAGGAGACGCUAAAGCUGAGAAAGACUUGCUACGUUCAGCUGGUGCCUCCCAAUUCAGCAAACCCACAUAUGACCAACUUGAAGCAAUGGCUCGUUUCGAGGUCUUUUUCUCUUUUACCGACUUGGCUACUAUACCAUUGAACCUUAUCUCAUCAGUUUUACCCAUUGAUUUGACAGAACCAAGACGAUGAGGUUGAUGACAACCUACUUGGUACCGACCCCCUUAAUGAGGUGACCUCUUAUGUUCUAGAUAAGUGUUGUAUCUGCUCCUAAUUCUCCAACUCGUGAUCUGUUUCACCAAGUCUCUAUAUCUCUGCAACAACAGAUUAAUCUGGCAAGUUACGUGGCUGAUUUUUUGUUGAAGUUUUCGAGUGAAGAUCGGCCUCUGUUUGAUAAUCUUUGCCAGGUUUGGUUACUAUGCUCUAUAUAACCUAUCAAUUAUCUUGAAACUUAAUAUGAACCACUUGGCUUGUUUUCAAAUAUAUGUAGGGCUUAACAAAUGCGCAAAGAAACGUGAUCCAUAUGGCACUGAACCGCUAGGCUUGGCGUCAUAAUUCACAAUUCAUGUCUGGAGUGUUGUUUUUUGUCAGUUGAUUGAUUCUUGGGGAGUAAAGAAGUGCUAGCAUCCCUUUUGUAGAAGUGUCAUUUUACACAAAGUACUGUAUUAAAAAGAAGAAAAUCCUCCAGUUUCAUGUUAAACUCUACAGUAAAACCCUCAGAAAUAACGUAGAAUUGCGCAGGCAAUCACAAAACAAAACAGCCAUUAAUGAAACAAAUACUAAAGUCCAAAGUAUAAUAUCAAUCUUAGCCAAAGAAUGGGAGUGUUAUAACAAAUUUGUAUAAAAUCUUCCAAGUUAAUAACCAAAAAAAAUAUUCCUUUAAGAAAUAUGUUUGACGAGUUUCACUACAAAUAUGCCUAAUAUUAAAACUUGGUUUUUUUUUUUUUUGCCGUCUAAUAAACUUUAUUGAAAUCAAAAGGAUAGUUCAAAAAACCAAAGACAACAGAGCAUGUAAACACAAACCAAAACAGAGCCUCACAAAAACAGAGUAUUAUAAUUAUGAAAGUAUUAUAAUUAUGAAAGAUGCUCUAAUAAAACUUCAUCUUCUCUUUUCCUCUUCGAUACGGGAAUGGAGCCACAUCGGUCCACCUCGAGCUAAAUAUGAUCGUGUGCGACCCUCCCUUGUGACACUCACGGCAAUAUCUCUUGCGACCGAAUUCGCUUUGGUAGAUGAAACUUUAAACACUAUUUGAUGAAAGGAGGAGAUUAACCUGUGUACCUUGUCGAGGUAAGAACCUUGGCCAGUUGGAUGGAUCAAUAAUGGCUUCAAUAGCAGCACUGCAGUCUGACCAAAUUUCAAUGUUAUCCAAAUGUAAAUCUAAGAGGCUCCUUAAAACCCAAAGCAUCCCUCGUAAUUCCGCUGCAAUACGAUUUGAAGCAGGAAGAAACAUUUCUCUCGCAUGAAAAACUGCAUCUCCCUGAUGAUUUCUAACCAUCCAUGCUCCACCACACAUAUGUGAAUCAUUUAACCAAGACGUAUGGAGGUUACACUUAAGAAAAUCAUUCGGGGGUUUGACCCAAUGACCUUCUCUUCGCAAAACCGGGACAUUACUCAUGGAAGUUUGCGGUUGUAACUCCUUAAUCUUGUUCCACUCUUCUGCUUCUUCUAUUGCGUGACUGACCAGAGCAUUCAACUCACCCUGUUUCCCAGCAUAUAAAACUUCAUUUCGGUGCUUCCAAAUUCCCCACAAGAUCCAUGGAAUCGCCAUUCUAAUCCUGAGAGGCACACUCUCCUGUUUCAUAACUUUUAACAAGAAUGCUAUAUUGUCAUGGAUAGAAUCUGUGAAACCAUGAGGAGGAAAAGUUAUGUUGACGAUCUCCCAGACUUCACGAGCCGGCCAUCAAUUGAAUAAAACAUGACUGAUUGAUUCAAUAGCGUCCUGACACAUAGCACAUUGAGGAUCCGAGUUCAUGCCAUGGGCUUGUAGACACACCGAUACAGCUAGUGCACCAGAUAAAGCUCGCCAUAAGAACAUUUUGAUUUUAGGAAUAGUUUUGACCUCCCAAAUCUUCUCUUUGAGUGCACGAGACUCUUGUUCAUGAUCAGAAAUUAGAGCAGGCACAUGUUUCAAGUGAGAUAUCAACCAGUUACCACUCUUCACCGUGUAGCAACCAGACCGAUUAUAAGCCCAUACGUAACUGUCCGGUGAAGCUAAAUUAGGAGGAUACGACAUUAUUCUGACAACAUCCGGUGGAAAGAACAGCUCCGAUAAUAAAUGAUGGUUCCAAGAGCCUUGGGGGUUAUAAGGUUUGAAACUCGUAAGUCUAAAUCGAAAAGAGACUGUUUAUUGAAGGGACGCCGCGGAGUAUUAUCCAAAAUCCAUUUGUCUAUCCAUACGCUCGUUGUUUGACCAUUACCUAUGUUCUUGAUGAGACCUUUUGCAAGCAGAUCACGACCGUGAAUAAUGCUUCGCCAAGCAUAAGACGGUCUGGCACCGAUAGCAGCAUCCAUAAAAUCUUUCCGGUGAUAAUAUCUUGCUUUAUAAACCCGAGCCAAUAAGGAAUUUGGCUUUGUAAGAAGUCGCCAAGCCUGUUUUGCGAGUAAGGCUUGAUUAAAAUCACCAACAUCUCGAAAGCCUAAACCACCUUCUUUCCUUGUUUUACACAUCUUCUCCCAAGAGACCCAAUGCAUCUUCUUAUUUUCUUCACAUGAAUUCCACCAGAAGCUUGUCAUUGCACUUGUAAUCUGUUGACAUUGAUAUUUUGUAAGUCUAAAGCAAGACAUGGCGUACACUGGUAAAGCCAUAGCAACUGAUUUAAGGAGGACUUCCUUUCCUCCCAAAGAUAAAGUCUUUGCAUACCAUCCAGUCAACCGGGUUUUAAGCUUUUUAGUAAUGUAUGCCAGCAAAUCACACUUAGAACCGCUAAAACACUCCGGAAGACCAAGAUACAUACCAUCGCCACCCUCUUUAAAAAUUCCAAGAAACAAUCCCAGCAAAUGUCUCAUAAUCGGCUCCAUCUUGUGACCAAAGAUAAUAGAUGAUUUUUGAAGAUUAAUCUCCUGUCCGGAGGCAUCACCAUAGAGUUUCAAACAAUGAAGAAUUUCAGCUCCUUCUUUGAAAUUAGCCCGGCAUAGAAAAAGACUAUCGUCAGCAAAUAACAAAUGUUGGAUGGAGGGACACUGCCUUGUUAGUCGAAUACCAGUAAUGCGCCCUUCUACUUCAGCCUUCUUCAUGGUGUGAACAAGUGCUUCAGCACACAAAAUAAAGA